GGCCCGCACAAGCGGUGGAGCAUGUGGUUUAAUUCGACGCAACGCGAAGAACCUUACCUGGGUUUGACAUGCACCAGACAUCCCUAGAGAUAGGGCUUCCCUUGUGGUUGGUGUGCAGGUGGUGCAUGGCUGUCGUCAGCUCGUGUCGUGAGAUGUUGGGUUAAGUCCCGCAACGAGCGCAACCCUUGUUCCAUGUUGCCAGCACGUAAUGGUGGGGACUCAUGGGAGACUGCCGGGGUCAACUCGGAGGAAGGUGGGGAUGACGUCAAGUCAUCAUGCCCCUUAUGUCCAGGGCUUCACACAUGCUACAAUGGCUCAUACAGAGGGCUGCGAGACCGUGAGGUGGAGCGAAUCCCUUAAAGUGAGUCUCAGUUCGGAUCGGGGUCUGCAACUCGACCCCGUGAAGUUGGAGUCGCUAGUAAUCGCAGAUCAGCAACGCUGCGGUGAAUACGUUCCCGGGCCUUGUACACACCGCCCGUCA
rnacentral:rRNA from 1 species